CGGGGCGUAGCGCAGUCCGGCUAGCGCGCCUGCUUCGGGAGCAGGAGGUCGGAGGUUCAAAUCCUCUCGCCCCGA
rnacentral:tRNA from 1 species